rnacentral:rRNA from 1 species
UACGUAGGGCGCAAGCGUUGUCCGAAAUCAUUGGGCGUAAAGGGCUCGUAGGCGGCCAACUAAGUCGGAUGUGAAAUCCCCAGGCUCAACUUGGGAACUGCAUCCGAUACUGGAUGGCUUGAAUUCGGGAGAGGGAUGCAGAAUUCCAGGUGUAGCGGUGAAAUGCGUAGAUAUCUGGAGGAAUACCGGUGGCGAAGGCGGCAUCCUGGACCGACAUUGACGCUGAGGAGCGAAAGCUAGGGGAGCAAACGGG